rnacentral:misc_RNA from 1 species
UCUCCGUUGGUGAACCAGCGGAGGGAUCAUUACCGAGUUUACAACUCCCAAACCCCUGUGAACAUACCAUUUGUUGCCUCGGCGGUGCCUGCUUCGGCAGCCCGCCAGAGGACCCAAACCCUUGAUUUUAUACAGUAUCUUCUGAGUAAAUGAUUAAAUAAAUCAAAACUUUCAACAACGGAUCUCUUGGCUCUC